rnacentral:rRNA from 1 species
UACGUAGGGUGCAAGCGUUAAUCGGAAUCACUGGGCGUAAAGCGCACGUAGGCGGAUCUUUAAGUCAGGGGUGAAAUCCUGGAGCUCAACUCCAGAACUGCCUUUGAUACUGGGGAUCUCGAGUCCGGGAGAGGUGAGUGGAACUCCGAGUGUAGAGGUGAAAUUCGUAGAUAUUCGGAAGAACACCAGUGGCGAAGGCGGCUCACUGGCCCGGUACUGACGCUGAGGUGCGAAAGCGUGGGGAGCAAACAGG